GAGGGGUCAAAAUGCCCUGGCUGCUGUUUUCACUGUUCCCGUGGCCCACUGGAAAAAGAAGCUGAAAUACAGGAUGUAGGUUGUCUAAUGGACCUGGAAAGACGGAAAGCUGUCAAACUCCAGAUGAUGGUUUAGUUGGACCAUUCUAGCUGUCACUACUCUCCUUCGGAUGGCAAAGAAUCCUAGCUGUCACAUUCCUCUCUUCGACAUCCCUGUCCAGCAGGAAGAAGCCAGAAUGGUCUUCGCUACUCCUCCUGUGGCAGCAAAGGGUUUCCUGCCCUCACAAAAUGAUUUUCUCUAAGUCUGCUACAGCAGCUUGAGAAUCAAGAGGUGGGAAUGAGAAGGAAAGCUGGGAAGCUGGGCUUAGGAUCCAUUUCUGCCUCUUUCCAAAGCCCUGCCUAUACCAAACAUCAGGCCACAGCCCUGUCUCCAUGCUGACUGCCUUUCUGCACUUCCUGCCAGCCACCCUCAUGUCUGGACUUCUGGGUUUGUGUUCUUUAUCUGGGGCUGUUGAUGGACCACGAGGAGGUCCUUGGGUA